GGUAAUAACCUUUAACACUCCGACACUAACAACUGACUGAUAAAAUAUAACAAUGGCACGUCACAGUCCGAACCUUUUAACCAUUUUAAUAUCACUCUUUCCCACUUACGAAAACAAAAAGUUUCUAACAAAUUUGUGACACAUAGUAGAUCUGGUACAUUCAUUUGAAGUGCACUGAGAUAAGUCAAUUUUUUUUAGACCCUCUCUCUCAUUUUUCAUGAAUCAAAAAUACAUCUUAUCCAUUAACAUUGUUGUUUUAAAAAGCU